rnacentral:rRNA from 1 species
UUCCAGGUGUAGCGGUGAAAUGCGUAGAUAUCUGGAGGAACAUCAGUGGCGAAGGCGACUCCCUGGCCAAAGACUGACGCUCAUGUGCGAAAGUGUGGGUAGCGAACAGGAUUAGAUACCCUGGUAGUCCACACCGUAAACGCUGUCUACUAGCUGUGUGUGAAUUUAAUUCGUGCGUAGCGAAGCUAACGCGCUAAGUAGACCGCCUGGGGAGUACGGCCGCAAGGUUAAAACUCAAAUGAAUUGACGGGGGCCCGCACAAGCGGUGGAGCAUGUGGUUUAAUUCGAUGCAACGCGAAGAACCUUACCUACACUUGACAUGCAGAGAACUUUCCAGAGAUGGGUUGGUGCCUUCGGGAACUCUGACACAGGUGCUGCAUGGCUGUCGUCAGCUCGUGUCGUGAGAUGUUGGGUUAAGUCCCGCAACGAGCGCAACCCUUGUCCUUAGUUGCCAGCCUUAAGUUGGGCACUCUAAGGAGACUGCCGGUGACAAACCGGAGGAAGGUGGGGACGACGCCAAGUCAUCAUGGCCCUUACGUGUAGGGCUACACACGUGCUACAAUGGCAUUUACAGAGGGAAGCAAACUUGCGAGAGUAAGCGGAUCCCUUAAAGAAUGUCGUAGCCCGGAUUGGAGUCUGCAACUCGACUCCAUGAAGUCGGAAUCGCUAGUAAUCGCAAAUCAGAAUGUUGCGGUGAAUACGUUCCCGGGCCUUGUACACACCGCCCGUCACACCAUGGGAGUGGGAUGCAAAAGAAGUAGUUAGUUUAACCUUCGGGAGAACGAUUACCACUUUGUGUUUCAUGACUGGGGUGAAGUCGUAACAAGGUAACCGUA